rnacentral:rRNA from 1 species
GCUACAAUGCAGUCGAGCGCAGAAGCUCCAGCUUGCUCCCUGAGAUGAGUGGCGAACGGGUGAGUAUACGUGAGUACCUGCCCUUGACUCUGGGAUAAGUCUGGGAACCGGGUCUAAUACUGGAUACGACGUCCUACCGCAUGGUGAACUGUUGGAAAGGGUUUUACUGGCUACCACUUACAGAUGGACCCGCGGCGCAUUAGCUAGUUGGUGAGGUAACGGCUCACCAAGGCGACGAUGCGUAGCCAACCUGAGAGGGUGAUCGGCCACACUGGGACUGAGACACGGCCCAGACUCCUACGGGA